ACACGUUCUCGGGGCGGGGUGCAAUUCCCCACCGGCGGUAAUCGGCGUUAAACACGACGUAGCCCGCGAGCGCUCUGCGAUUGCAGAGGUCAGCAGACCCGGUUGGAUUCCGGGGCCGACGGUCAUAGUCCGGAUGAAAGAGAACAGAA
rnacentral:ncRNA from 2 species